AAACCUAGGCAGCAUAGCCAAACACUGUCUGUACAAAAAUGUAAAAUAAAAUUAGUUAGGUAUGGUAGAGCAUGAGUCCUAGCUACUCAGGAGGCUGAGGUGUGUGGAUCACUUGAACCAGGCUGCAGUGAGUCAUGACAUGACAGAGGGAGACCCUGUCUACUGUCUGUCCCUAUAGAAAAAGAAAAAAACAGGAUGGCCCAAGGAAAUGCAUCAGUGCAGAGGGACAGAAACAGCAGUGUGGCCUGGGAAAGAGUGAAAAUUGAGGCAGAUUCAUAAAGAAGUCUAAGAGUUUUGGGGAUGUUGGGGACUAUCAAAGUUGACAGUCUCUCCAUAUAGAAAUUCUUCCCCAGAUUCCAAGGAGAAACUUUGAAAGAAAUUACUCAA
rnacentral:lncRNA from 1 species